GUCGCAGGCCAGAAACUCUUUGGCAGCUCCUUUGAAUUCAGGGACUUGCAUCAGUUGCGCUUAUGUUAUGAAAUAUACAUGGCAGACACACCCUCUGUGGCAGUACAGGCCCCACCGGGCUAUGGUAAGACGGAGUUAUUUCAUCUCCCCUUGAUAGCACUGGCAUCUAAGGGCGACGUGAAAUAUGUGUCGUUUCUGUUUGUACCGUACACAGUGUUGCUUGCUAAUUGCAUGAUCAGGUUGGGCCGACGCGGUUGCUUGAAUGUGGCCCCUGUAAGAAACUUUAUUGAAGAAGGUUACGAUGGCGUUACUGAUUUAUACGUGGGGAUCUACGAUGAUCUUGCUAGCACUAAUUUCACAGACAGGAUAGCUGCGUGGGAGAAUAUUGUUGAGUGCACCUUUAGGACCAACAACGUAAAAUUGGGUUACCUCAUUGUAGAUGAGUUUCACAACUUUGAAACGGAGGUCUACCGGCAGUCGCAAUUUGGGGGCAUAACUAACCUUGAUUUUGACGCUUUUGAGAAAGCAAUCUUUUUGAGCGGCACAGCCCCUGAGGCUGUAGCUGAUGCUGCGUUGCAGCGUAUUGGGCUUACGGGACUGGCCAAGAAAUCGAUGGACAUCAACGAGCUCAAACGGUCGGAAGAUCUCAGCAGAGGUCUAUCCAGCUAUCCAACACGGAUGUUUAAUCUAAUCAAGGAGAAAUCCGAGGUGCCUUUAGGGCAUGUUCAUAAAAUUCGGAAGAAAGUGGAAUCACAGCCCGAAGAAGCACUGAAGCUUCUUUUAGCCCUCUUUGAAAGUGAACCAGAGUCGAAGGCCAUUGUAGUUGCAAGCACAACCAACGAAGUGGAAGAAUUGGCCUGCUCUUGGAGAAAGUAUUUUAGGGUGGUAUGGAUACACGGGAAGCUGGGUGCUGCAGAAAAGGUGUCUCGCACAAAGGAGUUUGUCACUGACGGUAGCAUGCAAGUUCUCAUCGGAACGAAAUUAGUGACUGAAGGAAUUGACAUUAAGCAAUUGAUGAUGGUGAUCAUGCUUGAUAAUAGACUUAAUAUUAUUGAGCUCAUUCAAGGUGUAGGGAGACUAAGAGAUGGGGGCCUCUGUUAUCUAUUAUCUAGAAAAAACAGUUGGGCGGCAAGGAAUCGUAAGGGUGAAUUACCACCAAUUAAGGAAGGCUGUAUAACCGAACAGGUACGCGAGUUCUAUGGACUUGAAUCAAAGAAAGGAAAAAAGGGCCAGCAUGUUGGAUGCUGUGGCUCCAGGACAGACCUGUCUGCUGACACAGUGGAACUGAUAGAAAGAAUGGACAGAUUGGCUGAAAAUCAGGCGACAGCUUCCAUGUCGAUCGUUGCGUUACCGUCUAACUUCCAGGAGAGCAAUAGCAGUGACAGGUACAGAAAGUAUUGCAGCAGUGAUGAGGACAGCAACACGUGCAUUCAUGGUAGUGCUAAUGCCAGUACUAACGUCAGGACUAGUGCUACUACCACUGAAAGUACCAACUCCAGCACUAGUGCAACUACCACUGCCAGCAUCAACGUCAGGACUAGUGCAACUACCACUGCCAGCAUCAACGUCAGGACUAGUGCUACUACCACUAAAAGUAUCAACUCUAGCACUAAUGCUACUACCACUGAAAGUACCAACUCCAACACUAAUGCUACUACCACUGAAAGUACCAACUCCAGCACUAAUGCUACUACCACUGAAAGUACCAACUCCAACACUAAUGCUACUACCACUGAAAGUACCAACUCCAACACUAGUGCUGCUACCACUGAAAGUACCAACGCUAGUGCCAAGGAGGACGCCAAUAAAGAUGGCAAUGCUGAGGAUAAUAGAUUCCAUCCAGUCACCGACAUUAACAAAGAGUCGUAUAAGCGGAAAGGGAGUCAAAUGGUUUUGCUAGAGAGAAAGAAACUGAAAGCACAAUUUCCCAAUACUUCCGAGAAUAUGAAUGUCUUACAGUUUCUUGGAUUUCGGUCUGACGAAAUUAAACAUCUUUUCCUCUAUGGUAUUGACAUAUACUUCUGCCCAGAGGGAGUGUUCACACAAUACGGAUUAUGCAAGGGCUGUCAAAAGAUGUUCGAGCUCUGUGUCUGUUGGGCUGGCCAGAAAGUAUCGUAUCGGAGGAUAGCUUGGGAAGCACUAGCUGUGGAGAGAAUGCUGCGAAAUGAUGAGGAAUACAAAGAAUACUUGGAAGACAUCGAGCCAUAUCAUGGGGACCCUGUAGGAUAUUUGAAAUAUUUUAGCGUAAAAAGGAGAGAGAUCUACUCUCAGAUACAGAGAAAUUAUGCUUGGUACCUGGCCAUUACUAGAAGAAGAGAAACAAUUAGUGUAUUGGAUUCGACAAGAGGCAAGCAAGGGAGCCAAGUUUUCCGCAUGUCUGGAAGGCAGAUCAAAGAGUUGUAUUAUAAAGUAUGGAGCAACUUGCGUGAAUCGAAGACAGAGGUGCUGCAGUACUUUUUGAACUGGGACGAGAAAAAGUGCCAGGAAGAAUGGGAGGCAAAAGACGAUACGGUCUUUGUGGAAGCGCUCGAGAAAGUUGGAGUUUUUCAGCGUUUGCGUUCCAUGACGAGCGCUGGACUGCAGGGUCCGCAGUACGUCAAGCUGCAGUUUAGCAGGCAUCAUCGACAGUUGAGGAGCAGAUAUGAAUUAAGUCUAGGAAUGCACUUGCGAGAUCAGAUUGCGCUGGGAGUUACCCCAUCUAAAGUGCCGGAUUGGACGGCAUUCCUCUCGAUGCUGAUAGGGCUGUUCUACAAUAAAACAUUUCGGCAGAAACUGGAGUAUCUUUUGGAGCAGAUUUCGGAGGUGUGGUUGUUACCACAUUGGCUUGAUUUGGCAAACGUUGAAGUUCUCGCUGCAGAUAACACGAAGGUACCACUGUACAUGCUGAUGGUAGCGGUUCACAAAGAGCUGGAUAGCGAUGAUGUUCCAGACGGUAGAUUUGAUAUAUUAUUAUGUAGGGAUUCGAGCAGAGAAGUUGGAGAGUGAAGGAAAUUGUUGUUACGAAAGUCACUGAUUAUGUAUUGUGUAGUAUAGUAUAUUGUAAGAAAUUUUUUUUCUAGGGAAUAUG
rnacentral:sRNA from 1 species